GACGAACGCUGGCGGCGUGCUUAACACAUGCAAGUCGAACGCUGAAGCUUGGUGCUUGCACUGGGUGGAUGAGUGGCGGACGGGUGAGUAAUACGUGAGUAACCUGCCCUUGACUCUGGGAUAAGCCUGGGAAACUGGGUCUAAUACUGGAUACGACAUGUCACCGCAUGGUGGUGUGUGGAAAGGGUUUUACUGGUUUUGGAUGGGCUCACGGCCUAUCAGCUUGUUGGUGGGGUAAUGGCUCACCAAGGCGACGACGGGUAGCCGGCCUGAGAGGGUGACCGGCCACACUGGGACUGAGACACGGCCCAGACUCCUACGGGAGGCAGCAGUGGGGAAUAUUGCACAAUGGGCGGAAGCCUGAUGCAGCGACGCCGCGUGAGGGAUGACGGCCUUCGGGUUGUAAACCUCUUUCAGCACGGAAGAAGCGAAAGUGACGGUACGUGCAGAAGAAGCGCCGGCUAACUACGUG
rnacentral:rRNA from 1 species